GUGGGGAAUUAUGGACAAUGGGCGCAAGCCUGAUCCAGCAAUGCCGCGUGCAGGAAGAAGGCCUUCGGGUUGUAAACUGCUUUUGUACGGAACGAAACGGUCCUGGCUAAUAUCCGGGGCUAAUGACGGUACCGUAAGAAUAAGCACCGGCUAACUACGUGCCAGCAGCCGCGGUAAUACGUAGGGUGCGAGCGUUAAUCGGAAUUACUGGGCGUAAAGCGUGCGCAGGCGGUGCUGUAAGACAGGCGUGAAAUCCCCGGGCUCAACCUGGGAAUUGCGCUUGUGACUGCAGUGCUGGAGUGCGGCAGAGGGGGAUGGAAUUCCGCGUGUAGCAGUGAAAUGCGUAGAUAUGCGGAGGAACACCGAUGGCGAAGGCAAUCCCCUGGGCCUGCACUGACGCUCAUGCACGAAAGCGUGGGGAGCAAACAGGAUUAGAAACCCGUGUAGUCC
rnacentral:rRNA from 1 species